GGCGCCCGCAAUUCGACUGGAGGGCUGGGCGGAAGUGGUGGAGCUGGGAAGGCGGGGCCGCGGUCGGGAGGCCAGAUACCAGCACACUCCGGUUUGCGGUUGGUCCCCGCGAGCUUUGUCGAGGCUCAGGCACGAUGGUGGGGCGAGGCCCACGAGCGCCUUCUCUGGCCCUACAUCCAGGUCCGAAAAAUGCGAAGUAGCCUGUGGCUGUUUGUGAGGCAAACUUACUGAACCAGUACUGGUGAUAUUGCACCACUAUGAAUAUUUCGAGGACUUGCUGAUUCAUGUUUGCAUCUCUAAUGCCUACUGAAAUCUGAGUACCUGUUCAUUCAUUCAUUCAAGAAUUAUUCGUUGAUAGCCUGUAAUAUACCAGGAGAACACUGUGGCGUAGCUGUGCACAUCAGGCCAAUUUCCAGAUUUCAGGGACUUUUACUUUUUCUGAUGAGUCUCCAGAUGAAAACUCAGCUUAGCUGAUACCUUCACUUCUACCUCGUGAUACGCUGACUAGAGGAGCCAGUCACACCAUGCCUGAUGUCAAAACUACAGAAUUGCAUCUUCUGACAUCUUCAACCGCUCUGUGAAAUCACCAAGUGGAUAAAUGUCGCAUAUCUUAAAGUAAAUGCACAAACAACUUUCAAUUAUUUAUUGUCUUUCUUCAUGAAAGGUUUUUUUUUUUAUUAGAGGCGCAAUUUCAUAGAUGCUUCCAUAGCACCUUUUAAAGUUUUCAGAAUAUGUAAACGAAGUAGAUGUAAUGAUCAUGUGAACAAAUAUUCAGUAGCUUGGAGUAUGAAUAGUGUACUUGUCAGGAUGCAAGAGGUAUAGAAACAUUCUUCCUAACUAGUGAAUUUGCAAUUGAGGAGUAAGAAUGUUGAAGGGAGAUGGCAAAAUAUGAUGAGUGAUUUAAAUAACGUGUUCUUAAAAAAAUUUUUUUUUCACUUUGUAGAGAUGUGAAAACAAGGUUUCCCUUCUCUAGGCAUAAAAGGGAAAAUAUUUAGACACAUGGGUCGCAAAAGCCACUUAAACUCAAGGUAUUUGCUCAGAGCCAUGUUCAAAAUCUCCCUGGCAUUGCAAGAUCUUGGAAAACUCAGAGUGUACUCUUCUGAUUAGACCUGGGAUGGUGUCCCAGUGGCCUGUCAUCCUUCCCCCUACCUGGCUGAGGCACACUCUCUGUACAGUAUGUGCAGUACCGUUUGGCUGCUGCUUCCUUGCUAACUGGAGUCAGCUGUGCAUGUGGGCUGGUCUCGGAGCCUGGGCCCAGGGAACGCUGUCUGAGUGGAGUUUUCCACUCAGUGUUUGGUUUGGCCUGGUCUGUGCGAUGUCUUGCCAGAUCUGCAAACUCCUGUCAGGAGUCACUCCUCCUUGGAUGGGAAAAUAUUCCUCAUGCCGUUGUUAGAGAACUCUGAUCUUUCACUAGAAACCUGGUGGGAGGUGUUGGCCCAAUCGAGGUAUCAAGAAGCCAGGAUUUUCCCCUCUGAAGAACGUGUUUACAGUGGAUGGUAUUUGUAUGAGUAAAAGUAUUUAGGGUUGUGGAGUUGGCCAGGUUCGCCCAUUUAAAAAAUGAGAAACUCAUAACUGUAGCACUGAAAAGCCCUCCACUUAAAACUAAUGGAGGCAAUGACUAUUGCCAUUCAGCAGCCAAAUUAAAACAGAAGGAAUGGUACAGGAUGUUAACUUAGAAUUUUGUGUUUGGGUCUAUAGCCUUAGAGCAUUAGCAAAAUGUUCUUCUAUAAAGUGAGCAUGACACAUGGGUACAUACAGCUGUGCCAAGGGUGUGACGGUCUUGGCACUGACAUAGGGCCUCUCUCCACUCAGCCCUCCCUCACACCUGUGAAGAUGGAUUGCUUUUUAUAUUCUAUUCCUGUGCCCAGAACUCUCAUUCUUUUGAUGCACUGUGUGCAUAGCAAAUGAAGUUUAUAAUUUUAACCAAUAGAUAUUGGUAUCCUUUUAUCUGACAUUGUGCUGGACAUGUAACUUACUAUAGUUUAAAGAAAGUACACAGAUCGUGUGUAAAGCUCAAAAAAUUGCACUAAGUGAGCACAUGUGUAUUACUACUACCCAUGUUAAGAAACAGAACAGUUGUUCGUAUCCCAGAAACCCCUCUUGUGACCCUCACACAGUCACUACCCACUCUUCUUCUCCAUGAAUAAUCUCCACUUAAUACUUUUGAGGUUUAUAUUUAUAGGAUCAUACAGUAUGAUGAUUUUUGGGGGGCCUGGUUUUAUUCAAAAUUAAAUUUCUGGAAAGCAUCUAUUUUAUUGUAAGUAACAGUAGUUUAUCAUUUGUCAUCAUAGAUAGUCUUCCAUUGUAUGUAUAUAGCAAAAGUAUUGAUCCAUUCAACUCUAAAUAGAUGUUUGGGUUAUUCCCAGUUUUUAGCUGUGGUCAUGUCUGUAUAGUUUUUUAAUAAACACAGAUGUGCAUUUCUGUUAACUAGCAAACUAAAAGUAGAAUUUCUGGGUCACACAAUAACGUGUUUUUUUCAGUUGCAGAGGAUAUUACUAAAAAGUUUCCCAAAGUAGUUGUAUCACUGUAUGCUAAUCAGGAAUAUAUGAGAAUCCUUUUCUCUAGGUCCUUACCAACACUUACUACUGUCAUUCUUCCUAAUUUGAGCCAUUGAUAGCUGCAGAGUAUUUCCCUAAAGACUAAUGUGCUUGUGCACAUUUUCCUAUGUUUAAUGGUCAUUUGUAUGUACCCGCCAUCCUCUUUUUAAUGAUUUUUCAAGUUUUUUUAUGGGCUUAUAUUUUUCUUAUUAAUUAUAAGUGCUCUUUAUUUGGAAUCAUUUCCUUUGUUAAUCAUAUUUUCUCCCACUCUGUGCGUUUCUAUUAUCAUAAUUUUGUCUUUUGAUGAAGAGAUGAUUGUGUGUGCUGUAACAUAGCAGCACUACCUCUUUCUGAUGAUCAGAGCCAAUUUUUCCCCUUAAGAGGGCGAUUCUUCUUGCCUGCUUGUCCCUAGUGGUGCUAUAGCAUGGUGUUCAAAGGGACAAUUGUUUUGUUCUGUGGUUAAAGUAUACUCUCUUUAAAGAUCAGGACCUCUAACCCUACAGAUCUCCAAGCUUUGGAGAUGGGAAUUCCAAAGUCAGUGGGUCAUGGGGAAUGAUGAUAAGCAGGCCAUCACAUGCCCUGGUUCCCAUGCUCAUGUAUUUUUCUUAGUAAGUGCAGAUUAUCAUUUACUGUUCUUGAUUUCAGUAUAUAUACUGCUUCACAGAGGAUGGAAUUUUAUCCUCAUGGUUGAUUGCUUCUAACCUGGCACAUCAGUUGUGACUUUCAGCAACAAUAGCAUCUUUUUUGGUGGUAUAAUAUGUAAUCGCACCGGUGGAUCCUACCUUUCCAUUUUCCAGGCCCACUUUUGUACCUCUUUUGAUAUAGACAGAUGGGUCAUUUGGUCAUCUGGUCUGAUGCAGUAUUAUGUGGGUCCCAUGUGGUGGAGCAAAUACUCUGUAUACACUUAGAUAAUGGUGCUAGCUGAAGCUUCAAGUGCAGGAAAAUGAACCCAUAUCUAGAAUAUGUAGCUAUUUCUCUUAAAUCAUCUUACUUUUUAGGAAGUAAGAGGCCCAUUUGGUAAGCUUGGCCCCAUAGAGUAGAAUUGGGCAGAAUUCCUUGAAGAGUAGUGCUGUAUUGGGGCUCAACCUUGGCCGCUCUUGUUGUCAGGUUAUGUAUUCAGUGGCAGCAGUAGGUAAAUCAGCCAGUCAGUGGGAGCUCACACUGUUGGGCCCAUGUAUAGCCUCCAUAUCUUUCACCGUGGCCACUUCCUUCAUGUGCCUGUUGUAGUUCUGUGGUUAUCACUAGUGCUGGUUGAAGGCAACAGACUAGGUCAUUCUUUUCUCUUUGGUUGUUUAGUGCUUCUCAUGUAGUGGAUGCUCCUCUUUGAUAUGAUUUAACAUGUGACCCAAAGAUCUUCACACUUUGUGCUCACACCCAUGUGUACAUCCGCAUGUCUCUACACCAGACCUCCAUGUCUCUUUCUUCCACUCUUUCUACUUUUAGGCCCCAACCAAGCAGGCUCUUCUCCACCAGUGGAUUUGUAUAUAUUCUAACCUGAGUCAGCUUCACACAAAGAGGAUGGCUUGUUGCUCUGCCCAAAUUUCCAACCAUUGGGAGGGUUUUUCCUUGCACUAGCCUUUAAGGACACUUCUACAUGAGACUGUUGUGAAAUUAUUGUUCAUUUGUGUCUUGCUGUAUAUACAAGCCGAUUCAUCCAUAAAGUUUGCUUAGGUCUUUUCCUUCUCUAUCAGAGGGUAAUGAGAAAUCCUGUGUGGUCAUAGGUCUGAGCUAAAGGAAGUGCACUGGAACAGUAUUGGUGAGAGACAUUGGAAUCUGGGCUGUGUCUUAUACAGCUUGUUUAUGUAAUCUUGUCCUGCUAGUGCUGGAUCCAGGAUAUAUCAUUUCCUUCUCAAGAUGCGCUUUUUCUGGGUCUGCUUGUCUUUAUGACUUAUUGGGUUUGACAGAGCCCAGCUUAUGGUAUGCAUUUCCAGAUACAUGGUAACUUAGUAUCCCAUGGUCAGGUAUUUAGUCUCCACCAGAGAUCAAUAAAAUUCCAGGAAUAUUUCCCCCCCCCCCCAGUGGUGUAUAGUUCCAUAGCAGAUGAUACAGCUCUGCUCCAGAAAAUCAGAGGACUGCACUCUAGGGCUUGCCCUAAGCUCCGUGUUUCACAUGGUAUCUUUUCCCAACAUUGAUACUUCUAAUAAUGUAGCAUCUAUUGAAUCAGAGCUGCUUACUCCACAGCCUAAACCUGGUGCAGAGUUUUUUGUGAUCUAACUCCUAAAUCCUGGGCCUGGUCCUUAUCUUUCUUUGCCAUUUGCCUGAAGAAGAUGAGACAUUCUUUUUGAACUACCAAAGAGGUCUGAUGUUUUUCACACUUAUCUUUUAGUUGCCUGUUCAUCCCUUGCAGGUUUUCGUUAUUAUUUUCUAGGGGUUUCAGUGACAUGCAGCAAUAGCCAUCGAAUCUCAUUGUCUUUAUGUCUACUAUUUUAUGUGUUACUUCUCAAAACCCUGAUAUUUACAUUAGUCAGUGCAUUCUCCUCCACUGGCACACUAUCCCAGUGAUCAGUUUUAAUGAUCUGUUAUAGUUUUAACUAUUGAACCAGCACCUAUGUCUGUGGCAUUCUUUGCUACUUUCAGCCAUGUAGUCUUCAAUUCCUGUUGAGUAGCAAGUCAUUCAGUUCUAACACCUAAUCUUAUUGCUUAUUUAUAGGAUUUUCCUGGUACCAGUUGUUGCAGGUUGGUAUAAAUGGGUGCCAAGAUGGAGAUAGGCACAUAGGUUAUUUAUUAAUGGUGAACAUCUGUGAAAGAGAGGGGUGAUUUACAGAGGGAGAAGUCAAACUGCGACAUAGGUCUGACAAAGACUUGGCCAAGCCCAAAGGGACCUGUGAGUAAAUUCAUCUCAUCAAAAUUGCCCCUGGGUGGUUAUCCAUUAUUGGAUAUGGAUUGCGGGCGGAGGGCAUGCUAUUGAGCAAGAUGGCUCCUUGUCAGUGAGGAAAUUGAAGGGGUUGUGAUAGGGAGCUAUCUUCUGAUGGUACUGCGUGGAUGGGGCAAUAAGAUUUUCAUUAACAUGGGUCUUAAUGGCUCAUCUCUUGUUUACCACACCAUUUUUAUAAAUAAUACUACUUAAAAAUUUUUCAUUUUUGAGUUUUUGAUUGUAUGUAGAAACACAGUUGAUUUUUAAAUAUGUUCUUUAUAUCCAGAAACGCUGCAAAACUUGCUUGUUUAUUCUAACAGCCUUUAUGUAGAUUCUUCUGGGUUUUCUAUUAUAUAUUUCAAGUGCACAGAAAUAUUUAUGAAAAUUAACUAUGUACUGAGCCAUUUUAUGUGUCAAUACGUUUCAACAGAUUGGAAUCAUACAAUUUUUGUUCUCUGGUGACAAUCAAAUUAACCUGUAAAACAAUAAAACAUUCCUAAGUGUCUAGAAAUUAAGGAAUACAUUUACAAAUAACAUAUGAAUCAAUUUAAAAGUCAAGAUGUAAAUUAGAAAAUAUUUUGAAGUGAAUUAUAGUAAAAAUAAUAAAUAUUAAAACAUGUGGAAAAAGCUAAAGAGGCAAAUUUAUAGCCCUAAUUGCAUCAAUUAGAAAGAAAAGUGUUGUGUGUUGGUCUCAGCUUAUCAAUAAUCACUGUUGUGGUUGGACCAGCUCUUAUAGCUCUUAUUAUAAUUGCAAGAUCUUUCUCAGCAAUAACUGUCAGGAAACUUUGAAAAAAUAAAGGUUUUUUACUUAGAAGACAUGGAAACUAUACAGCACACCUGGGGCCACACAGUGAGGUCAAGCAUAGAGGGAGACCACAGAUGGUCUGGGUUUCUGAUUUUAUUGGGGUUGAGGGUAGGGGCCUAGCAUUUCAUGGGCUCAGUCUUUAAUUGAUGAAUUUAAAACUUAAGAUCCAAAAUUUUGAGAGCUGGAAGUGAAAAAAACCAAGUAGCCCAGAUGGUCAGUUAUUGUAAUCAACCAAGAUCUCUAAAACAAAGGAGCCUCAGUGUGGGGAGACAUCCUGGCUCUGUCUAGAGUAUGCCUGGCAAUGUGUUUUUUGAGAUAGUGGUCUUUGAAGUGAAUGCCUUUUUGAAAUGAAUGCCUCUGCAAUCAAAGCUUAAGUCAGGCACUUGCAUUUGGAAAAAACCAACCAACCAACAAAGAACAAUUAUCAGGGCUUACACUACAGAGGCCAAAAUCAAUGAUCUGUAUAGCCAUCUCAGCAAAUUAUAAAUAGGAUAGGAAGCCCAGAAAUAAACCCAUGUGCCUAUGGUCAGCUAAUCUACAAAAAGGAGAUAAGACUAUACAAUGGAGAAAAGACAAUCUCUUCAAUAAGUGGUGUUGGGAAAACUGGACAGCUGCAUGUAAAAGAAUGAAAUUAGGAUACUCUCUAAUAUCAUACACAAAAAUAAACUUAAAGAUGUAAAUGCAAGACUGGAUACUAUAAAACUCUUAGAGGAAAACAUAGGCCAAACACUUUCUGACAUAAACUGCAGCAGUAUCUUCUCAGAUC
ensembl:lncRNA